rnacentral:tRNA from 1 species
UUCCUGGUGGCUCAGAUGGUAAAGAAUCUGCCUGCAAUGCAGGAGACCCAGGUUCGAUCUCUGGGUUGGGAAG